GGCAGGCACAGGUGGCUCAUCUAGAAGCAGCCGUCUGUCAUGCGUGUGGCUGCCUGUACAUGGGCUGCCCUGUGC
rnacentral:miRNA from 1 species